AGAGUUUGACCUGGCUCAGAUUGAACGCUGGCGGCAGGCCAAACACAUGCAAGUCGAGCGGUAACACAGGAGAGCUUGCUCUCUGGGUGACGAGCGGCGGACGGGUGAGUAAUGUCUGGGAAACUGCCUGAUGGAGGGGGAUAACUACUGGAAACGGUAGCUAAUACCGCAUGACCUCGCAAGAGCAAAGUGGGGGACCUUCGGGCCUCACGCCAUCGGAUGUGCCCAGAUGGGAUUAGCUAGUAGGUGGGGUAAUGGCUCACCUAGGCGACGAUCCCUAGCUGGUCUGAGAGGAUGACCAGCCACACUGGAACUGAGACACGGUCCAGACUCCUACGGGAGGCAGCAGUGGGGAAUAUUGCACAAUGGGCGCAAGCCUGAUGCAGCCAUGCCGCGUGUGUGAAGAAGGCCUUAGGGUUGUAAAGCACUUUCAGCGAGGAGGAAGGGUUGAGUGUUAAUAGCACUGAACAUUGACGUUACUCGCAGAAGAAGCACCGGCUAACUCCGUGCCAGCAGCCGCGGUAAUACGGAGGGUGCAAGCGUUAAUCGGAAUUACUGGGCGUAAAGCGCACGCAGGCGGUUUGUUAAGUC
rnacentral:rRNA from 1 species